UCUGUAAUCCCUAAAGUAACAAAUGAGGAAAUAAAGCAUAGCAAAAGGUAUACUUGGUCAAUUGGUCUUGUUUUUUAUUUUCAUUGUCCACGAGUAUUGAUUAAGAAUAUUAUUCAUAUCCGACCAACUUCCAGCCGGGACAUCAUUUAAUCGCAUACGAAACACAUACUGUACAUAAAACAUGCAUAAAUGUAUUUUAAAAAGCAUAUUAUCUGAUGCGAAUUUUCGGUAUUUUCUGGUGAUAUAUCUAUAGAAGUAUAAAUCACCCCUCAAAAAUAUAUUCCUGGGUGCGCUUCUGACUUGAAGGUAUAUCGAUCUGAGAAUUUGAGGCAUUACGUCUUACAAAGCCCAGAACAAAGUCUUUUAUCUCAUCAACAUGAUUUAGAUCAUGUUCGGGACGGGAUGAAAUGUGGGCCGGGAAUUCCUCUUGAAUUCCGCGGGAACGAGGGUGGAGGAGGUGCCGAAUCCCUGAAGUCCUUCGAGGGUUGAAUUUAACACAUUUAAAUUCGCUCAAUAAAAUUAAAUGAAACACUUCACUGUCACUAGUAUAUGUGUAUAUAUAUAUGUAAGAGCCUAACGGCCACUUUAUUAUAUGUCUAUAUAAAAAAAUUCUGUAAUAAAAAUAUGUAAAAUGUAUUAACAAUUAAAGGACCUUACUUGAGUGAUCGGUACAAAAAUUUACAAAA